rnacentral:tRNA from 1 species
GCUCGGGUGGUGGAAUUGGUAGACACACACGUUUGAGGGGCGUGUGCCGAAAGGCGUGCGGGUUCGAGUCCCGCCUCGAGCA